rnacentral:rRNA from 1 species
GACGAACGCUGGCGGCGUGCUUAACACAUGCAAGUCGAACGGAAAGACCCUGCUUUUGUGGGGUGCUCGAGUGGCGAACGGGUGAGUAACACGUGAGUAACCUGCCCUUGACUUUGGGAUAACUUCAGGAAACUGGGGCUAAUACCGGAUAGGAGCUCCUGCUGCAUGGUGGGGGUUGGAAAGUUUCGGCGGUUGGGGAUGGACUCGCGGCUUAUCAGCUUGUUGGUGGGGUAGUGGCUUACCAAGGCUUUGACGGGUAGCCGGCCUGAGAGGGUGACCGGCCACAUUGGGACUGAGAUACGGCCCAGACUCCUACGGGAGGCAGCAGUGGGGAAUAUUGCACAAUGGGCGGAAGCCUGAUGCAGCAACGCCGCGUGCGGGAUGACGGCCUUCGGGUUGUAAACCGCUUUCGCCUGUGACGAAGCGUGAGUGACGGUAAUGGGUAAAGAAGCACCAGCUAACUACGUG